AUUGAACGCUGGCGGCAGGCCUAACACAUGCAAGUCGAGCGAGCGGCGGACGGGUGAGUAAUGUCUGGGAAACUGCCUGAUGGAGGGGGAUAACUACUGGAAACGGUAGCUAAUACUGCAUACCAUCAGAUGUGCCCAGAUGGGAUUAGCUAGUAGGUGGGGUAAUGGCUCACCUAGGCGACGAUCCCUAGCUGGUCUGAGAGGAAGACCAGCCACACUGGAACGAGAACACGGUCCAGACUCAUACGGAGGGGCACAGUGGGGGAUAUUGCGCAAUGGGCGCAAGCCUGAUGCAGCCGUGCCGCGUGUGUGAAGAUGGCCUUCGGGUUGUAAGGCACGUUCAGCGGGGAGGCGUAACCCGCAAAAGAGGCACCGGCUAACUCCGUGCCAGCGGCCGCGGUAAUAC
rnacentral:rRNA from 1 species